rnacentral:rRNA from 1 species
AUUGAACGCUGGCGGCAGGCCUAACACAUGCAAGUCGAGCGGUAGAGAGGUGCUUGCAUCUCUUGAGAGCGGCGGACGGGUGAGUAAUGCCUAGGAAUCUGCCUAGUGGUGGGGGAUAACGUUCGGAAACGGACGCUAAUACCGCAUACGUCCUACGGGAGAAAGCGGGGGAUCUUCGGACCUCGCGCCAUUAGAUGAGCCUAGGUCGGAUUAGCUAGUUGGUGAGGUAAUGGCUCACCAAGGCGACGAUCCGUAACUGGUCUGAGAGGAUGAUCAGUCACACUGGAACUGAGACACGGUCCAGACUCCUACGGGAGGCAGCAGUGGGGAAUAUUGGACAAUGGGCGAAAGCCUGAUCCAGCCAUGCCGCGUGUGUGAAGAAGGUCUUCGGAUUGUAAAGCACUUUAAGUUGGGAGGAAGGGUAGGUAACCUAAUACGUUGCUACUUUGACGUUACCGACAGAAUAAGCACCGGCUAACUUCGUGCCAGCAG